rnacentral:rRNA from 1 species
UGAACGCUGGCGGCGUGCCUAAUACAUGCAAGUCGAGCGAACAGACGAGGAGCUUGCUCCUCUGACGUUAGCGGCGGACGGGUGAGUAACACGUGGAUAACCUACCUAUAAGACUGGGAUAACUUCGGGAAACCGGAGCUAAUACCGGAUAAUAUAUUGAACCGCAUGGUUCAAUAGUGAAAGACGGCUUUGCUGUCACUUAUAGAUGGAUCCGCGCCGCAUUAGCUAGUUGGUAAGGUAACGGCUUACCAAGGCAACGAUGCGUAGCCGACCUGAGAGGGUGAUCGGCCACACUGGAACUGAGACACGGUCCAGACUCCUACGGGAGGCAGCAGUAGGGAAUCUUCCGCAAUGGGCGAAAGCCUGACGGAGCAACGCCGCGUGAGUGAUGAAGGUCUUCGGAUCGUAAAACUCUGUUAUUAGGGAAGAACAAAUGUGUAAGUAACUAUGCACGUCUUGACGGUACCUAAUCAGAAAGCCACGGCUAACUACGUG